rnacentral:lncRNA from 1 species
GAAGAGCAGCCACGACCAUGCACCUAGACUGAUCUGUAGACAGAUACAAAGGAGCCUAAGGAGAGCCAAUCACAGCACAGCCUUGUUUGAAUUAAAGUGAGCCAGCUUAGCUUAUCCAAUCAGCACACUUCACUCAGAUUACAACAAGACCAACUCAUCCUCACCAUCCAUUCCCCUUAAGUUAUUUCUAUCCAUUAGAUAUAGGUUUAUGAGUUGCAAUGAUGUAAAGCCUAUAUAAGGAUGUGUCUUGGACGUUUUGUAACUCUUAAGAGAGUAUGGGGGGUUUUCCCCAUCUCCUUCAUAAAUAUAAAAGUGUGUUCUUGAUCAGAUUCCCUUAAUCUAUCCCUUUCUUAGUCUCUAAUCUCUUAAUCUUUCUAAGUCUCUUUGUUUCUGAUUCAAGUUCAUACUAGUUUCAUCAGACCUCUUAAUCAACUAGUUCAAGACCUUAUUCUUUGCCUCUCAUGGCUUCUCAUACACAUACAAAGCCAGAGCUCUCAAAUCUCAUAUGGUAUCAGAGCCAGGUUCAUCAGAACCUGAGCUGAAGCUUCCGCAAACACACUGCUCUCUCCUCAGCUCAAAUCCAAACCAUUGAAGCUCUCUCCAUCCAGUUCAGCUUCUUAUGAAGAAGAAGACUGAAGCUUGGCGAGUUCUCAUGGUUCCUCAUCCUGUUCUCUUCCUGUCCUGAUGGUGAUUCUUCUUGGAAGCAGAGGUGUAUGGACAAGGCCUAGCUAUCCUUGUACCAAGGCGCCUUGUCCAAGAGAAGAACACAUCCGGUUCCAAAGAAGAUGGUGUCAAGAGCUUGGCGCCUAGUGGAGAUGAAGAAAGGAGGGGUCUUUGAAGCUGAUGGUACAAGAUGGAGGCUAUGAACAGAAGGUGAAAGAGGUGGGUGACGAUCCACACUCUCAAGUCCAACAAAGCAUGGCCGGUUUCAUGAAAGGUUAAGGAACCAAUCUGGUUCCUUGUGGUAAACGAUUCUUAAAACCUUCUUAAUGAUGAGCAGAUGAUAAGAUGAGUUUUGUAUUGUGAUGUGUAUAGAUUGAAAAACCUGAGGAUAAUGUGAUUGCUAAAUAUAACUAGUUGAAUCUGUCCCAGGAUGCUUUAAAGGCUUGUUUAGUGGUUAAAGAGUAAAAUGCUUGCUCCUGUUAAGUAAUGAGUUUGCUAAAUGUGAAAUGAUAUUGUUUGAAGCUCAUGAACUGAAAACAGAUUGAAAGUAAUGCAUUGUCUGAUGUUAAGUGAUGAUAGUAAUGCUUAGCCUAAGUUAUAAAUGAAUGUGUGAUGAAUUGUAUUGUUGCAUUCAUGAAUUAAAACUGAUUAAGGUUAGUGCAUACUGUCAAAUGGCUGUCUUACAUUGAAGCAUUAGAUUCAUGUCUAAAUGAUGAGUAAAGGAGCUGUCAAAAAUUGCCUAAGUGUCUUGUAAUGAAUCUGUAUGAUCAUACUAGAACUUAGAGAAGUAAGCUUGCAAUGAUUUGAAACUUGGGUGUCUUGUUUGAUCUUGCAUUGCUUUAGUGAGACAUUGGUGUUCAAGCUUGAUGUGGAAUCAAGGACUGACCCAAUGCACCUAUGUCUAAUCUUCUCUGGAGGUUGAGUGGUGUUUCAGGUGCACAAGGAGUGUUCUUAGUUCUUCACCAAACCAAGAGAAAGAGGAAGGCAUUGCCCAUUGUCAUGAGCAAUGGAGAGCGGUUACUGAAGUGGUUAUGAGCCACUGGUUAGUGAAGACUCACGGCUGCUCACUUCCAAGCUUGGACCCUCAUUCUAUCCAAGCUUGAGGAGGGGAGUUAAGUGAGCAGAAGAAGAAAUUUCCACAAGAGCUUUCCCUGAAGAUGGCGAGUUGAAGAAAUGCUGCAAGGGCCUGAUGGUGUGAUCAUGAAGCUGCUCUCCCAAGCUUGACUUGUUCCACAUGGUCAAGCUUGAGGGGGAGUGUUGAGAAGACUUCAAAUGAUCACAAAGGUGCCGGUUCAAGAAGGUGGACGGCAGUGAGCAAAUGUAGAGAAUCAAGAAGCUCUCCUUCCAAGCUUGACUUGUUCCACAUGGUCAAGCUUGAGGGGGAGUGUUGAGAAGGCUUCUUGAUGAGAGCACUUGGCGGUUAUUCAAGAAGAGGAGCAUACCGGUUUGUGAAGCAAGAUGGAGGAUGGUGAAGCAAUCUCCAAGGCGGCCAGAGCAGAGCAGCCUUGGUACUACAGGCUGAGGCAUCCGAUCAUGAAGCUUUAGAACAAGGUGGAAACUCUAGAAGAAGAAGCAGCCAAGGCUCAGCUAUUACAAGAUGAAGAGUGAUGAGCAAGAGAAGAUGUGAUCUACCUUGCAUCACAAGAAGGGGCCGAGAUCCAGAGUCUUUGUGUCCCUUACAUUGUUGGUAAGGCACAAAGACUCACUGGCCAAUCCCUAAGCCUUGGAGACUUUACUCUUUUUCCCUCAUCAAGGUUUUGUCCCAAAGGGUUUUCCUUGGUGAGGUUUUUAAUGAGGAAGUUCUUCAAGGUUCCAAGCUUGACUUAGGAUCAGCUAAAGUCAAGCUUGAGGAGGAGUGUUAACUUGAAGAGAAGAAGUGGAGAAGCAAAAGUGAUGAGUUGAGUUGGUGCUUGUGCAAAGACAUGGCAAGAUCUUCAGAGAUUGUAUUUUAAGGCUUUGGGAGAGUCUUAAGGCUUCAGAAGUGGUCUGAUGAGUGUGCAAAGAUAGGGUUAAGUCCAGGAGGGACUUAGACACCAUUUAGAGAAGAUUUGGGUCAGACAGUAACUCCAAAGUUACUACAGUAACUUUGGAGAGUUACCACAGUAAGAUUGGAGAAGUUUGGGCAAGUUGGUGUAAAAGUGAAUAGUGAAUCACUAGUCACUAUUCAGGUUGACUAUUCACUAUUUGGAUCACUAUUCAGGAUGUGAGGCACCAAGGUUUGAAUCUAGUCAAAGGGAAUCAAGAAGAUGCUGUGUGGAGCUGAUUGGUUACUUUGGGGCAUGGACAGGCUGGCUGUUGCUGUAAAGGAAGAGCAGCCACGACCAUGCACCUAGACUGAUCUGUAGACAGAUACAAAGGAGCCUAAGGAGAGCCAAUCACAGCACAGCCUUGUUUGAAUUAAAGUGAGCCAGCUUAGCUUAUCCAAUCAGCACACUUCACUCAGAUUACAACAAGACCAACUCAUCCUCACCAUCCAUUCCCCUUAAGUUAUUUCUAUCCAUUUGAUAUAGGUUUAUGAGUUGCAAUGAUGUAAA